rnacentral:piRNA from 1 species
UGAUUUCAUUUUGGGGUCCUGGACACAAU